rnacentral:rRNA from 1 species
UACGUAGGGUCCGAGCGUUGUCCGGAAUUAUUGGGCGUAAAGGGCUCGUAGGCGGUUUGUCGCGUCGGGAGUGAAAACUCAGGGCUUAACCCUGAGCGUGCUUCCGAUACGGGCAGACUAGAGGGAUGCAGGGGAGAACGGAAUUCCUGGUGUAGCGGUGGAAUGCACAGAUAUCAGGAGGAACGACCGGUGGCGAAGGCGGGUCUCUGGGCCACUACUGACGCUGAGAAGCGAAAGCAUGGGGAGCGAACAGG